rnacentral:lncRNA from 1 species
AACUAAUGAUGCAAGAUUUUUUUUUUUUUUACAAAAAAUCAAUAAGUGAUAAAAAUGUCUCAUCCAUACACAAUCCUGUGAAGGCUCAGCCAGUCUUCUCUUACCCGCUCUCCCCGAGUUUGGGAUUGGAUGGAGGAAAUGCAAUCAGUCAUGGCCUGCUGCUUCACCUCAGGGGUGACCACACUCCAAUGUCAGCUCCUGGCUCAGUGCUUAACUGCACUUGGCAACCAACCCUGCUAGAGGAGGAAGGGGAGUGGGCCUGCAAUCACAGAAAGACGGCAAAGAGAACCUUCACAGGGGUUGUCUCACACAAAAUUAAAUGA